GGCUUAGAUACCCUGGUAGUCCACGCUGUAAACGGUGGGUACUAGGCGUGGGGUCCAUUCCACGGGUUCCGUGCCGUAGCUAACGCUUUAAGUACCCCGCCUGGGGAGUACGGCCGCAAGGCUAAAACUCAAAGGAAUUGACGGGGCCCCGCACAAGCGGCGGAGCAUGCGGAUUAAUUCGAUGCAACGCGUAGAACCUUACCUGGGUUUGACAUGGAUCGGGAGUGCUCAGAGA
rnacentral:rRNA from 1 species